GUUACGUAAAGUAUUGGUAAUUUUUGGUAAUUCCGUGACUUACCAAUUGACAACGUAACUACGACGUCGCAUGCCCGUGAUUUUGUUACCCUCCCAUUACCAACUCACAACGUCGUCAGUACGUCCUUCCAACGUGACCAGAUAACCAAGACCGUCUCAGACAGGUUCUCUAUUCGUAAUAUAUUGGUAACUUCAUGACUUACUGGCAACGUAACUACAACGUCGUAUGCACGUAAUUUCAUUACCAUAACUUUUGUACAUUCUUUAUAUGCUCUCUGAGUAUAGUGAUAUUUAAAAAGUGUAAUUAAACUUCAGGCACAAGAUUAAACGUUCCUUAAAGAUAAAAUGUGUUUCUUUUCACCAAGUCAGAAUAUGGACAUGUUUUAAUAUAUAGUGACGUGACAUACAGCGCGCGCGCUUCCACAGCUGACACACCGCGGCGCGCGCACAGACAAGAAAGGAAAUACAUUUUUCGGAGUUGUGAAACUUUCUAUUUCGUAAGGAGUUAUGAACGUGAAAUAAUGACACAGACUGGCUACACCAUCUCAUCUGCCGCAGAUACUGUAUCAGGAGGACAGCGCGUUUGUUUGAGGCACUUUUCACUUCAACUGUGUCUGACGGGAGAAUUAGCUUUUCUGAGCUUACUAGCCGUUGAGAGUUACCAUGGCAACCACGGGCACGUCAUCAGCUGCUGGAGAGGAGAGGACGCGUCUGACACUUUCUCUGUUUCUCGUCAGUUAUACCAAAGAAAAGUUCAACAACUGCGACAGAUUGUUUGUUUAUUUCUAAUAAGGAGCUGGAGGCCGUGGAGAAGCAGAUCCAUGACCUCGUGGAGAAGCAGAUCCGUGACCUCGUGGAGAAGCAGAUCCGUGACCUCGUGGAGAAGCAGAUCCGUGACCUCGUGGAGAAGCAGAUCCGUGACCUCGUGGAGAAGCAGAUCCGUGACCUCGUGGAGAAGCAGAUCCGUGACCUCGUGGAGAAGCAGAUCCGUGACCUCGUGGAGAAGCAGAUCCGUGACCUCGUGGAGAAGCAGGUCCGUGACCUCGUGGAGAAGCAGAUCCGUGACCUCGUGGAGAAGCAGGCUCAGCUGAGAGAGCGGAGAGCCGUGCUGGAAACAUUCAGGGGUUGACGCUCAUAAGUCCGGGGUAAGUAUACAGCACGCUGCUAACUCUCCCACCCCCUCUACUCUGUGUGGUUCUCUGCACAGGCCCGGUGUACCCAGGACGCAAUCUUCCCAGAUGUCCUUCACCCCGUGUCACAGCGGAAGACAUGAGCCAGGUCCUGGGCGACAGCCUCCACCAGAAACCGAUUUGCUCCACUUCGCGAGACAGAACACGAUGCUGUGAUCGUCGGAGACUCCGUCGUCCGGCACGUUCGUGCUAUGUUAGCUGGAGGUAAUGUGCACACUCACUGUUUCCCUGGUGCUCGUGUUCUUGAUAUUUCUGCGCAGAUACCCGCGAUCCUGAAGGGUGAAGAGAGCAUCGGAGCGGUCGUGCUUCACGCCGGGGUUAACGACACCAAGCUGCGGCAGACGCAGACACUAAAGAGGGACUUCAGGAGCCUGAUCGAGACGGUGCGCAGCAUAUCGCCUGCACGAUGAUCAUCAUGUCAGGACCGAUUCCCAUGUAUCGAUGAGGACACGAAAGGUUCAGUAGACUUUUUGCUCUAAAUGAAUGGUUAUUGUCAUGGUGUAAAGAACAGAAACUGCUCUUUGUUAAUAAUUGGAAUCUUUUCUGGGAGCGACCUAGGCUUUUUCGCGCUGAUGGCCUGCACCCCAGCAGAGUCGGAGCAGAACUGCUGUCAGACAACAUCUCCAGGACUCUACACUCCAUUUGACUAGUAAGCCAAUUCUCAAAUAACUGCUAUGAUGGCUUUUGUUCUACCCACUUAAAUAGUACUUGUGCUGUCCAAUCAAUAAAGACUGUAUAUGUUCCA
ensembl:lncRNA